GGGCCCGCACAAGCGGUGGAGCAUGUGGUUUAAUUCGAUGAUACGCGAGGAACCUUACCAAGGCUUAAAUGUAAUACGACCGAUUGAGAAAUCAAUCUUUUUUCGAACGGAUUACAAGGUGCUGCAUGGUUGUCGUCAGCUCGUGCCGUGAGGUGUCGGGUUAAGUCCCAUAACGAGCGCAACCCCUAUUUUUAGUUGCCAGCGAGUAAUGUCGGGAACUCUAGAAAGACUGCCUGUGUAAACAGAGAGGAAGGUGGGGAUGACGUCAAAUCAUCACGGCCUUAUGUCUUGGGCUACACACGUGCUACAAUGGUAAUUACAGUGGGAAGCCACCUGGCGACAGA
rnacentral:rRNA from 1 species